rnacentral:lncRNA from 1 species
GCAUGAAAUAAACCAGAACUUACUAUUUUACAUUUCUUUGGCCCUUCAGAAGCAAAAUAAAUCUCUUCAUGUUAUUUACCUUAACUAAAGCAUGUACUUCAAGACAUAUCUUCAGUUAAAUGUUUUUAAUCAUUACUUUUGGUUUUUAGUGCUCAUACUUUUAUAGGGAAGAAACUAUCAAAGUAUCGCUCAAUACAAUGUUCCCAAAGUAUAUUUGUUUGGAAGAAUGUUUUCAUUUCUGAGACUUUUAUAUGACAUCUUAAGUCAGUGUGACCAACAGUUUGGAAUUCUGUAUUCAAGAUACAGUUGAUAGACCAUCACAAUACUGUGUCUGAGAUGUAUGCAAAGCAGUUGUCUGUCUAAAAAUAUAGUUUUAACUCUUUGGUAAUUAAAAGCUUGUGUUUAUGAAUUUUAUAUCCUAAUAUGAUAGUUUUUUUUACUUCUAAUGGAUUUUUUCCUAUUUUAGUAUAUCUUAAAAUAUUUAGGGGUUUUAGAUUGACAUGUGACACAUAAUAUUUUCAUAAUAAUUGGAAAUUGACUUUCAAAUAGCAUUUUUGCUUAAACAUCUAG